UUUAACGCAAGGCAAAAGCAGCGGAAGUCAAAGAAAAAAUGUCGCUAAUUCGGUUUUGAACUGGAAACGUAAUAUUGUGCGUAAUUUACAUUUAUUUGAGCAAUUGUUGUUGUUAAUAACAUUUGCUUCUUAAGGCUUUUUACAGCAUCAUCAGCAUCGGCAGCCAUGUUGGAUAUGAGCCUCAAAAUUUCAAAGUGAUAAUUCUCUGCCACCAAAGCGAAUAUUCGUAUGAAAAAGUACCAUCCUCUAUGCUCACUCGCAGUGAUUGCGAUGAUACUUUUUCUACUGCGUUGCUGCAGAAUUGACAGUUUUUUAUCACUUCAAAAACGCGAGGCAAACAAUCCUUGAAAAGCAAAAAGUCAAUGAUUCGUUUGAAAACUUAGUGAUGCAGUAAGACACCUUAAAGUUGUAUUUCAGAGAACGAAUUCACAUUGAUAGGACCAGUUACUUGAUUUGAACAAUUGAUUUUUUAAUUGAUGAAUAAAACAUAUUCCUGAUCGCAAAAAUGCGUUUUUAGCACAUUGAAAAAUUUCCCGGGAUCCCGGGAUUUCCCGGGACAAGCAACAAAUUUUAUCCCGAAUCCCGGGACAACCAAAAUGGUCGGGAAAUGGAACCUCUAACACAGAUGCUUACCGUAAAGCGUCUUGAAAGAUGAAACAUGUCGUUUCAUUUAACGAUAGUUUCAUCAGAUUACUACAAUAGAGUACGGAAAUGUACGAAUUUCCGAUGGAAUCCCAGGAAGACUUUCUUUAAAAAAACCUCAGAAGGCAAUCAGAAGGAGUUUCCGAAAAAAAUCCUUGAAAGUUGUUCUGAAAGAAUGCCGGAUUAAUUUCAAAACGAAUCUUUGAAGCAGUCUUAAAACAAAAACUGGUUUACCAAGGAAUCAAUUAAGAAAUUAUCGAGAGAUCUUUAGAGUAUUUUUAGAGCAAUCCUUGAAAUAAUUUAUGAAGGAAAUUAUGGAGGAAUGAUUAACUGGUAGAUAUUCUUCAGAAAUUCUUGGAAGAUACAUUUCUAAAGGUAUUCAGGAUUUAAAGCUUUCUGAAAAAAUCGCUGAAGGAAUUUCUGGAACAAUUCAUGAACGAAACUCUGGAUUUUUUUUUCAGAAAACGAGAUAAUUUUGUAUAGGGACUUUUGGAAGAAUUGAUAAAUGAAUUCUAGCAGGAAGACUAUUUUAAAGAUUCCAUAGGAGGUCUUUUGAAGGAAUCGCUGAAAUUUGUUUAAAAGAUCCGUGAAAGGUUUUCUAAAUGAAUCCUUGAAGGUAUUUCUGAAGAAUUCCCUGGAGAUUUUUCUAAAGGAUAAAAUUGUAAGGAAUUACUGUGAAAAUAUGAAAGAGAAUCCUUGAAAAAAAAAAUGGUAAUCAUUCAUUUAAAGAUUACCCAAAAAAUUGAAAGAAACCCAGAAGAAAAUUUACGAAUGAAUCCUUGAAAUAAAAAAACGCUCCAGAGAUAUAUUUAAUGUUUUCUAAUGGAAUACUCGUGGGAAUUUCGGAAGGAAUAGUUACACUAAUUUAUAAUUAUUUUUGUGGAAAACUUCCCUAAAGUUCUCUAGAAGAACUUCGGAAGAUAUCAUGUAAGUAUUCUCUAAAAACCUUCAUAAGCAAACCAUUGAAGAUUUUCUAGACGAGCCAAAGACGAACCCCUUUGAUUUUUUUUGGAAUGAAUGUUUACAAGAAUUACUCAAGGAAUUAAAUGUGUGAAGGAAUUCCUGGAAAAUGCGUAGAAACAUUUCCAACGGAAAUUUUCUGAAAAACUUCCAGAAACAUUUGUGAUGGAAUUUCUAAAGAAUCCUUGAAAAAAGCAUAAAUAUUUAAAGGAAUUUCGGGAGUAAUUCCUGGACUUUUGUUUCCAUGAUUUUUCACAUUUGUUAGUUCCUUACGCGAGAACCUCUGGAGUUAACCUGGUGUGGUUCGCAGCGAGGACCCGGUAUCGAAACUUAUUCCCGACAAACUCUCAAAAUGUGAGUUCUUGUUUCGGAAUGGAAAUUGAGCAUGGGUCAGUAUAAGGUUGAAAAUCUCAUUAAUACAGAUAAAAAGUGAGAAUCCUGGGGCAAAUUUCGUAAAGAAGUCCUGAAGGAAUUUCUGAAGCAACCUAUGCACACCGCGGUGCAUGAUUUUCUAUAGGAAUUUUUCGAGGAAAACUUUGAAAGAUUUAUUUUCUUUGGAGAAAUUUAUAAAGGAUCCCACAAAGAUGUUUGCAUUUAUGGGGACGCAAAACAAUUCUGAAAACCAUAUUCGUAAUUUUUCCUUCAAUUAACGGCCAGUGCCACUUUUGACGCAAAAAUCAAGUAUCGGAUUUCUGCAUAUUUCCUACGAAGUAUAGAUUGGAACCUUUUAUUUGACACAUUGAUAGUUUUUAUAAGAUUAUUGAUUACUUUUAUGAAAAUGAUUUUCCUUAAACUGUCGAAAGACGGUGCACGUACGCUACCUAAAUGAAUCCCGUGGGAAAUCAAUAACGGAAUCCUAGGUGGAGUCUCCAGGAAAAACGCGAAAAGAAUUCCGGGAGGAAUCGCUGAAAGAAUUCUGGAAAAAUCUCGGGAGAAAAUCUUGAAGGAAUAUUUUAGCAGAAUUCUUAAAGGGUUUGCAGAAAGAAACCUAAGUAGAAUACAUACCGGGAGGAAUUUUAGAAGAAAUCCUUGAGCGGAUCCCUACAGGACUCUUGGGAGCAUUUGCACAAUGAAUCAAAGGGACCACACUGAGAAUAAGUGACCGCUCCGCUGAGUUCUUUCAUUGAUAGUCAUAGAUCAAUGUCUGCAGGAGGCCCUGUAUGUAGACCAAUAUAUCCGUGAUAUGUACUAUACACUACCCGUCAUAAGUACGGGUAGUGUAUAGUACAUAGCGUUUCCCCAAGUACCCUAAAAGGUAAGUUGACUCCUGCUACUCCUAGGCUAGGCUAUCAGCUACAACUUUGCCGAAGACCGCACUUAAAUCGCAUGCCUCAUUUAAAUAGCUACCAUUUUUCUGCGGAUGAUUUUUUGAGUGAAGAUAGAGAUUGAACAAGAUCACGCCCGUGAUUUUGCGCAGUUUCACGGUCUCACGUCCUCACGCAACGCAGCAACCUGCGCAACAAACACAAAAUCAAGGAGGCUGGUAAACCGAAAAGUUUCUCCAGUUGUCAUUCAACACUCCCUUUUCGGCCCGAGCAGACGCAAAAUUUCAAGUGCAAGCAAUUCUUUAAAACAGAAAUUUUCGUUUGGAUUCCCUUUUCCUCAACGCUCAUCUAACUGAAGAUCCGACCAUCAAAAUCCGUGAAAUUCCCGAACCCAACACCCAUUGAAGCCUUCAACAUGCCGAAGAAGGUUUGCCGGAGCCCAUGCCCCCUGCCGCUGUGUGGCCCCUGUGGUCCUUGUGGUCCUUGCGGUCCAUGCGGUCCCUGCGGACCGAUAUGUGACCCUUGCUGUCCGCCGGUGUGUGGCCCCUAUCAACCUUGCUUCGGAACGUGUUCUCAAAUUGGAUGUGCCCCGUGUGGUCCUUGCGGACCUUGUGGCCCGUGCGGGCCUUGUGGACCAUGCCUACCGUGCGGACCGUGUGCGCCGUUACCUCCCUGUGUACCAUGUGGACCUUGUGGACCUUGUGGACCUUGUGGACCUUGUGGACCGUGUGGACCCUGUUUUUCAUGCCGGGAUUCGAACAAUGGAUGCUGAUGUGCUUACAAAUUAUGUGACACACACAUUUAUGUGAAAAUAAAAAUGUAUCCAAACGGAA